GCGAUUGAAUACAUACAAUAUUUUAAUUGAGACCUUCAUUUUGAGAAUACAUAUAAAUUUACAGUCGGGACACCAACUUAUUUUGCAAUUCUAGCAUUUGAACUUGGCAAAAGCACAACAAGGGCGGAUCUUAUUCAGACAGUGGUAAUUGCCUACCAAAGAAAUAUUGCGUGUGCUGAAGUUGGCUUCAAAAUUACUGGUGUUGACAUGGAAGGUUCGUGGGCUGCAGCUACC